rnacentral:rRNA from 1 species
GAUGAACGCUGGCGGCGUGCCUAAUACAUGCCAGUCGAGCGAACAGACGAGGAGCUUGCUCCUCUGACGUUAGCGGCGGACGGGUGAGUAACACGUGGAUAACCUACCUAUAAGACUGGGAUAACUUCGGGAAACCGGAGCUAAUACCGGAUAAUAUAUUGAACCGCAUGGUUCAAUAGUGAAAGACGGUUUUGCUGUCACUUAUAGAUGGAUCCGCGCCGCAUUAGCUAGUUGGUAAGGUAACGGCUUACCAAGGCAACGAUGCGUAGCCGACCUGAGAGGGUGAUCGGCCACACUGGAACUGAGACACGGUCCAGACUCCUACGGGAGGCAGCAGUAGGGAAUCUUCCGCAAUGGGCGAAAGCCUGACGGAGCAACGCCGCGUGAGUGAUGAAGGUCUUCGGAUCGUAAAACUCUGUUAUUAGGGAAGAACAAAUGUGUAAGUAACUAUGCACGUCUCGACGGUACCUAAUCAGAAAGCCACGGCUAACUACGUG